ACCUGGCAGCCAAAAAUCCCCCUUUUUCCCAAUCCUUUUCUUCGGGCAAAGGCUUAAGGUUAGGUGCAUCGUCAUCUAAGAAACUGUAGAAUCCAAUACACCCGGUGCAAGCUGCGCGGGUCGCAAUCUAUCACAAUCCGUUCCUUUUGCACUACAAUCACAAGGGGAGUUCAAGAGGAGCAGGAGAGUUGUGCCGGAGUGUUUUUUUUUUCCUUGUUUCUUUCUUCUUGGUCGCUUGGUCUCGAUGCAAUGUUAUGUCUUCGAGCGCUAUGGCAAGCGGAAGAAUCUGGGUUAGGCUACGUGAGUGUUGAGAUUCUCUUUUGCUCUGUAAGGAAGUGUGUGCACAACGGAGGCAGGGCGUGCUUUUAUCGAUAAGGGCAGGAGGAUGGCAGAGUUGUUAGGGGUGCAAUUGUAGGCAAGGUCAUCCUCCAACUGGUGAGAUCCAGGGAAAGGCCUGAGAAUGCCGGCAAGCAAGUCGCGAGGACGGCGCAAGCUGGGACAUACCCUCAGACCCCUCAAUCUGAUAUUAGACUCUUCCCAACUUAAAUUCAUCCAGGGUUUACGCAUCGAAGUGUUAGACACGGCACCCACAACGCUCUGCUGUGUAAUCGGGCGUACCCUUACCUGGGAUCUUGUAGAGUUCCAGAAGAAGAUCUCUCUAACCACCACUAGGUGCCAGGAAAGCGAUGAACAGCGGAUAUGGGCAGCCACAAGCUUCCUGACACAAAUCCGGGGCUCCUCAUGCCACUUUCUAAUUCCCAAACUUACUCCCUCUCUUCUCACCGCUUUUGAUCUUGACUUCCAUCUUGUGGUCUUGUCCUCUUGAAAACAACUCCGAGAGCUCACCUUUAUUUCCAUUGGCAGUUGUUAUCUCAGAUUCCCUGCAUUAUUCAGCACAUGCCAUAUCCCUCAACGAUGGCCAAAGGCGAGAUUGCCGUGGUGGAGCCCCCGCCCAUUGUCUUUAGCUACUCAUUUAAACUCGGCGAGCGCGCAACCAGCGAUGUGAUUGUCAGGCUACGUACUGUCCACGGCCGUGACGACUGGUUCUAUGCACACUCUGAGAUUCUCUGUGCCAAAAGCAAGUACUUCGCAUCACGCCUCUCAGAUGAGUGGCCCACGUAUCAUCUCCUCGACUCCCGCAACUGUGUUGAAGUAAUUUGCAUCGAGUCUGACAUUGACCACCAUGUGAAACUCCUGCGCAUGUUGUACUCCAACCUCGAGGAGCCCGUCGGGGACAUGUGGCACAGCGUGAAGAAUGCGCUCGGCAUGCUGAAAGUGGCCACCAAGCUUGGGUGCGAUGCCAUAGCUUCCAAAUGUGCUUGCUACUUGGAGGCGGUGCCUUGGGAGGAGAAUGAGGAGGAAGAGAUUCUCAAAACAUUGCCAGCAAUUGUUAGCUCAACUCACAAACUUGUUGCGGAGCUUGGAGCUGAAAUCCAACCCGUCCUCGCCAGAUUGCAGCCCGUAGAUGCGGUAUCCAUUCGCAAUGUCUUUAUCUCUGCUGUGCACAUGGCCACAUCGUCCAAGAGCAAAACCUCCGACACAUUGUCCACGCUCCCGAGUGAUCUCAAAGCAGCAGCUCAAGAACAAGUUGAGUACAUGUUAGAGGAAGACGACGACGCGCCGCUGCUGAUCGCGGAUGAUGACCUCAAAUCUGCACUCAGGGUGAAAUUUCUGAACCUUUUCGGGAGUUUCAAAACCGAGUUGAUCGUUCUCACGGAUUCAACCCGUCAAUUCUCUGAGGCGACGAUUCUGGAGAAGGUCUCAGACCUCCUGUGGGCGUCUCGUGUUCUCCCUCGAGUGGGGCUCAACCCAGAAUUUGUGGAUUUUUGGGUGGGAAUUUCGAGUGACGUGACGGGGGCUCUGAACGGGGAGAAGGUGCGGGAAGUUCUGUGGGACACGAAGCUGCGUGUGGUGGAAAUCACGGCGACGGUGCUGAAGGCGGUAGGGUAUGGGAAUGUGAUAUUAAGUGCUGGUGAGCGUGUGCAGCUGGUAAAGGUCUGGUUGCCGUUUAUCCGCGAGACGAAGCUUGUGGUGGAAGAAAUGUUUGCAGUGGAGAAAGUGAGUAUGGAGAUGGACGUGGACUUGUGCCAGAGUAUUGAGAAUGCGCUUGUGUCGCUGGUGUUAUCGUUGCCGUCAGGAGAUCAGGCUGAAAUCCUUGCAGACUGGCUUCGCUGGGAUCACGCCAGGCAGCUACCAUUUUCCAGUAGAUGCUGAGCAUUUGGAGGAGAGGAAGUAAACAGUCUGAAGUGACAAUAUGGAUACCUCUCCACACUCUCCUCCUCAUGAAAAACGUGUUGGGCUAUAAUAUUCAGAAUAAGUUUCCAGAUUUAAGCGAAGCAUUCGAGGUCUGGUGCUUUCGAACCAAAGCCGCAAAACGGCGACUAGGCGUCGAAAAUCGCAAGGUUGGGAGUGCUAUCCGCAGUGGGUGUGCAUCUUAACCAUUUCGACCCAAAACGCUACAACAUCCGCCGCAAUAUGAUUCAUUUCUAAGGUCUUGCUUCUGCGCUCAAAGCAGCAAAUACAAGUGCUCUCAAUCUAGAUGACUGCCUUGUUUGCUUUGGCAUGUAUUAAUAGAUUCUUUUCGCGAGCAUGCGACAGAUUUUAUUCAUGUGUAGUUUGUCUAGCUUUCGUAUCUUAAUGCAAUUCGUAUUUUCGAAACAUCCCA